UACAGAGACUGCAAGCGUUAUUCGGAUUCACUGGGCGUAAAGGGCGCGUAGGCGGCCUGAUAAGUAGGGGGGUGAAAUCUUGCGGCUUAACCGCAAGGCUGCCUUCUAAACUGUCAGGCUAGAGCACAGUAGAGGCAGGUGGAAUUCCCGGUGUAGCGGUGGAAUGCGUAGAGAUCGGGAAGAACAUCAGUGGCGAAGGCGGCCUGCUGGGCUGU
rnacentral:rRNA from 1 species